CUCGUAGGCGGCUUAGUAAGUCGGCGGUGAAAUACCGAGGCUCAACCUCGGCACUGCCGUCGAUACUGCUAUGGCUAGAGUUUGGUAGAGGAGAACGGAAUUCCCGGUGUAGCGGUGGAAUGCGCAGAUAUUGGGAGGAACACCAGUGGCGAAGGCGGCUCACUGGACCGGAACUGACGCUGAGGCGCGAAAGCGUGGGGAGCAAACGG
rnacentral:rRNA from 1 species